GGCCGAGCGGUGGCGUCGUUUCCUUCCCCGAGGGGCUGCCCCUCUCUCCCGGCACGGGUCGUGUCCCCGUCUCCGUCCCUCUCUCUCGCCCGCCUCGCGGGAGGCGGGGAGCUCUCUCCUCUGGGCGGUGACGUGAUCACACUCGUGCGCGGGCGAGGCGGGGGUGGCGUCCUCGAGGGGGCACCGGCCGCGAGCGCUCGGGGUUGCCCUGUGCCUGUCCCUUGCCGGAGAUCCGCCCCCCGCCCCGCGAGCCCUGUCGGCCCCGGAGCGCCGCCUGGUGGGGCCCGUUUGGGAGGACGAACGGGUGGGGGCGAUGCGCCCUCGGUGAGAAAGCCUUCUCUAGCGAUCCGAGAGGGUGCCUUGGGGUACCGGAGCCCCCAGCCGCUGCCCCUCCUCUGCGCGUGUAGUGUGGCCAGCGACGCGGGGUUGGACUCCCGUCGCGACGUGUUUGGGCAGAGUGCCGCUCUUUGCCUACCUACCGCGGCCUGCGCCUCCCCCCUCCGAGACGGGGGAGGAUCCCGCCGGGCCGGGCCGGCGUCCGGUGCGGGGUGUGUUGCCCGCGUGCGUGUGCGAGCGUGCGCGCGGCCGGGGGGUUGGGGCGGCCCGCCCCCCCCCCCCCACGCCACUCACCCCGUGUGUGUGCGUGUGUGCCGCGCUAGCGGCCGGCUGGCUGUCUGGGCCGCCGCCCGCUCCCGAGCCGAGUCGCCGCCGGCGGUGGCUCGGCGGGCGCGUGUGGGUCGGGCCAGCUCCCGCCUGGGGGCGCCUCCCCGGGUCGUGACUCCGGGUUGGACCGGACGGAUGGACGGACGGGCGGAUGGACGGACGGAGGUUCGGACGGGACCCCCGCGGCGGGGGUCGCGCGUGCCUGGGCCCGGGCGGUGUGGGGCCCGGUUUGCGGGGAGGCCUGCCAAGGGUGCUGAGGCCGGCCGGCGUCCCGGGCGUCGCGGGACCGCCCUCGUGCUGGUGGCGGUGGGAUCCCGUGCGCGUUUACCCGGUGGCCCGGCUCGCGCCUUCGUUGGCGCGCCCUUCCCGGGACCGGCCCUUCCCCACGCGCUCUUCCGGCCCUCGCCCGCUGUGCGCCUCCUCCCCGUCGCCGCCGACCCGCCCCCCCCGUCCCCCCCGCCUGCCCGCGUCCCCCGACCGCACGGUCGCGGGCGCGCCGCGCGUGCCGCGCCCCUAACUCCGCCCUCCGUGGACCGAAACCGGCCUCGCCGCUGUUGGGUGUCUUGCCCCCCCCUUGGCCGCCGUGGCUCGGGGGGGGCGUCCCCGGGCGAAGUGCUCUCGGUCCUCCGAGGAAGGGGAGGAGGGAGGCGCGCGGGGGGUGUUGGGGCGGGGCGUCGUUGCGCGUGUGCGGGAGAGCGUUCUCGGGAGAACCGGUCGCGUGAACGGUGGCGGUUGGGGCCCCCGAGCCCCGCGAGGUUGCUUGGGGCCCGCCGUGGGGGGCCGGGCCGGCGUCCUCGGGUGCCGCGGGACCGCCCUUGCGCUGGAGGCC
rnacentral:lncRNA from 12 species